AUGCGGUGUUGUUACGUUGUUAGUAGGUCGCCUGCCAAGUUUCAUCACAUUCGGAGUUCGUUUGACGCCCCAACGGAUAACUAUAGCGGCAAUAGUCGUCGGUCUAUCGUCGGACGUUUUCGGUCUCCGAAACCUGUUGCCGGGUUUUCCCUCUCUUUCCUCCCUAGACCAUCUACACAGUCCAGUGCCUACCGCCAAGCCCAACCUAACCUCUCUCGUCAGCCCGCGGGCCUCCUCGGGCACGUGUCCGAAACUGUCCCGAACCCGACCCGGAUAGUCGUCACCGUUGGGUCCGGAUCAUCCCCAAACAUCUACAAAACAUCUUCGGUCUCGUAUUUGGACUCCCUAGCCUAUUCAUUCUCGUUCAUCGGAUUUCGAUUGGAUGAUCCAAACUCCCCUCUUUAUCACAUAUAUAGUCCAACCCUAACCCCUACUUGUCCCAUCCAUCCUCCUCGCCGCCGCCACCUCCUAGGCCUAUCAGGAUCUCACCCCAGCUUCUCCCUCCCUCAUUUCUUCCACCAAUCCAACCGCAUCUACACAAAUCAAAUCUUGUCUUCCUUGAUUUCUGUGCCAACCCAAUCACCCACAGCCUCGCUCGAUCCAGAUCGAGGGAAUCAUGGCUCCGACCACCUCCCUCGAUUUGCGCCACCGCCCAACCACUCCCUCCAACCAAUGCCUACCUCCUCGUCCCCGUGCCGCAGCAGUGGAGCAGGAGCCCUCGCGCCCGAACCUCACCGACUCUGCAGGCCGCGCCCUCCGGCGACUCCGCCGCCGGCGGCCACGACCAGGACCGGCCUCGUCCCGCUCCUCUCCUCCUCCUGUUUUUCCCUUUAUCUCUCUCUCUCUCAUGGUGGUCCUCUCUCUCUCCUUCCCAGGAACGAGCAGGAGCUCGCCCAAGCUCCAUGGCACCACCGCCGUCGUCCUGCUUCGUCCGGCGACCUCCGAGAAGUGCCACCCACCGGAUCUCCUCGAGCUCGCCUCGCCCCUAUGCCUAAGUCCCGCGUCGCCAAGCCGCCUCCCUUCCCUCGAGUCCGUCCAGCUCCGCCAUCCACCGUGGGCGUGGAGCUCGUCGGCGUCGUCCUCGUUGCCAUCCAAGCCCCGUCGCCGUUUGCCUCAUCGUCACCGGCUCCAGCCGCUUCUCCGGCAACCUCCAUCUCGGAGCUGCUGCCUCUGCCCGAGCUUCCUCGCCAUGCUCUGGCGUCCUCCGCCCGAGGACCAACGCUAUUGUAUCCUCCAUGGCGCUCGGCCUCUUGCAGCUUCUUCGGGCUUCGUCCGCGGCCUCACGCGCGCCGCUGUCCAGGAACCCCAGUGCCGCCCUGCUUUACCUCACCGUACCAAAAGAAACGAGCUCCAGGGACGCACGUCUCCGUGCAGCAUCGGCCGCCGCUGGGAGCCUCACCUCGCGCCGCCCGGGUUCUGCGUCCCCUGUCGGACCUCCCCUGCUUCGCCUUGGUCCGCCAUCGCUACCCUUUGUGCCACCCUGUGCCAGGCCCUAGCAGCCGCCAGCGACCUCUGCUCGCUCUGCAUCGAGCAGAGGAGCUAUCGUGA
rnacentral:rRNA from 1 species